rnacentral:rRNA from 1 species
GGUUAAGCGACUAAGCGUACACGGUGGAUGCCCUGGCAGUCAGAGGCGAUGAAGGACGUGCUAAUCUGCGAUAAGCGUCGGUAAGGUGAUAUGAACCGUUAUAACCGGCGAUUUCCGAAUGGGGAAACCCAGUGUGUUUCGACACACUAUCAUUAACUGAAUCCAUAGGUUAAUGAGGCGAACCGGGGGAACUGAAACAUCUAAGUACCCCGAGGAAAAGAAAUCAACCGAGAUUCCCCCAGUAGCGGCGAGCGAACGGGGAGCAGCCCAGAGCCUGAAUCAGUGUGUGUGUUAGUGGAAGCGUCUGGAAAGGCGCGCGAUACAGGGUGACAGCCCCGUACACAAAAAUGCACAUACUGUGAGCUCGAUGAGUAGGGCGGGACACGUGGUAUCCUGUCUGAAUAUGGGGGGACCAUCCUCCAAGGCUAAAUACUCCUGACUGACCGAUAGUGAACCAGUACCGUGAGGGAAAGGCGAAAAGAACCCCGGCGAGGGGAGUGAAAAAGAACCUGAAACCGUGUACGUACAAGCAGUGGGAGCCUCUUUAUGGGGUGACUGCGUACCUUUUGUAUAAUGGGUCAGCGACUUAUAUUCUGUAGCAAGGUUAACCGAAUAGGGGAGCCGAAGGGAAACCGAGUCUUAACUGGGCGUUAAGUUGCAGGGUAUAGACCCGAAACCCGGUGAUCUAGCCAUGGGCAGGUUGAAGGUUGGGUAACACUAACUGGAGGACCGAACCGACUAAUGUUGAAAAAUUAGCGGAUGACUUGUGGCUGGGGGUGAAAGGCCAAUCAAACCGGGAGAUAGCUGGUUCUCCCCGAAAGCUAUUUAGGUAGCGCCUCGUGAAUUCAUCUCCGGGGGUAGAGCACUGUUUCGGCAAGGGGGUCAUCCCGACUUACCAACCCGAUGCAAACUGCGAAUACCGGAGAAUGUUAUCACGGGAGACACACGGCGGGUGCUAACGUCCGUCGUGAAGAGGGAAACAACCCAGACCGCCAGCUAAGGUCCCAAAGUCAUGGUUAAGUGGGAAACGAUGUGGGAAGGCCCAGACAGCCAGGAUGUUGGCUUAGAAGCAGCCAUCAUUUAAAGAAAGCGUAAUAGCUCACUGGUCGAGUCGGCCUGCGCGGAAGAUGUAACGGGGCUAAACCAUGCACCGAAGCUGCGGCAGCGACNNNNNNNNNNNNNNNNNNNNNNNNNNNNNNNNNNNNNNNNNNNNNNNNNNNNNNNNNNNNNNNNNNNNNNNNNNNNNNNNNNNNNNNNNNNNNNNNNNNNUGCUGGAGGUAUCAGAAGUGCGAAUGCUGACAUAAGUAACGAUAAAGCGGGUGAAAAGCCCGCUCGCCGGAAGACCAAGGGUUCCUGUCCAACGUUAAUCGGGGCAGGGUGAGUCGACCCCUAAGGCGAGGCCGAAAGGCGUAGUCGAUGGGAAACAGGUUAAUAUUCCUGUACUUGGUGUUACUGCGAAGGGGGGACGGAGAAGGCUAUGUUGGCCGGGCGACGGUUGUCCCGGUUUAAGCGUGUAGGCUGGUUUUCCAGGCAAAUCCGGAAAAUCAAGGCUGAGGCGUGAUGACGAGGCACUACGGUGCUGAAGCAACAAAUGCCCUGCUUCCAGGAAAAGCCUCUAAGCAUCAGGUAACAUCAAAUCGUACCCCAAACCGACACAGGUGGUCAGGUAGAGAAUACCAAGGCGCUUGAGAGAACUCGGGUGAAGGAACUAGGCAAAAUGGUGCCGUAACUUCGGGAGAAGGCACGCUGAUAGGUAGGUGAAGCGACUUGCUCGUGGAGCUGAAAUCAGUCGAAGAUACCAGCUGGCUGCAACUGUUUAUUAAAAACACAGCACUGUGCAAACACGAAAGUGGACGUAUACGGUGUGACGCCUGCCCGGUGCCGGAAGGUUAAUUGAUGGGGUCAGCCGCAAGGCGAAGCUCUUGAUCGAAGCCCCGGUAAACGGCGGCCGUAACUAUAACGGUCCUAAGGUAGCGAAAUUCCUUGUCGGGUAAGUUCCGACCUGCACGAAUGGCGUAAUGAUGGCCAGGCUGUCUCCACCCGAGACUCAGUGAAAUUGAACUCGCUGUGAAGAUGCAGUGUACCCGCGGCAAGACGGAAAGACCCCGUGAACCUUUACUAUAGCUUGACACUGAACAUUGAGCCUUGAUGUGUAGGAUAGGUGGGAGGCUUUGAAGCGUGGACGCCAGUCUGCGUGGAGCCGACCUUGAAAUACCACCCUUUAAUGUUUGAUGUUCUAACGUGGACCCGUGAUCCGGGUUGCGGACAGUGUCUGGUGGGUAGUUUGACUGGGGCGGUCUCCUCCUAAAGAGUAACGGAGGAGCACGAAGGUUGGCUAAUCCUGGUCGGACAUCAGGAGGUUAGUGCAAUGGCAUAAGCCAGCUUGACUGCGAGCGUGACGGCGCGAGCAGGUGCGAAAGCAGGUCAUAGUGAUCCGGUGGUUCUGAAUGGAAGGGCCAUCGCUCAACGGAUAAAAGGUACUCCGGGGAUAACAGGCUGAUACCGCCCAAGAGUUCAUAUCGACGGCGGUGUUUGGCACCUCGAUGUCGGCUCAUCACAUCCUGGGGCUGAAGUAGGUCCCAAGGGUAUGGCUGUUCGCCAUUUAAAGUGGUACGCGAGCUGGGUUUAGAACGUCGUGAGACAGUUCGGUCCCUAUCUGCCGUGGGCGCUGGAGAACUGAGGGGGGCUGCUCCUAGUACGAGAGGACCGGAGUGGACGCAUCACUGGUGUUCGGGUUGUCAUGCCAAUGGCACUGCCCGGUAGCUAAAUGCGGAAGAGAUAAGUGCUGAAAGCAUCUAAGCACGAAACUUGCCCCGAGAUGAGUUCUCCCUGACUCCUUGAGAGUCCUGAAGGAACGUUGAAGACGACGACGUUGAUAGGCCGGGUGUGUAAGCGCAGCGAUGCGUUGAGCUAACCGGUACUAAUGAACCGUGAGGCUUAACCUU